rnacentral:rRNA from 1 species
AAAAGUGAAAGACGGUCUUGCUGUCACUUAUAGAUGGAUCCGCGCUGCAUUAGCUAGUUGGUAAGGUAACGGCUUACCAAGGCAACGAUGCAUAGCCGACCUGAGAGGGUGAUCGGCCACACUGGAACUGAGACACGGUCCAGACUCCUACGGGAGGCAGCAGUAGGGAAUCUUCCGCAAUGGGCGAAAGCCUGACGGAGCAACGCCGCGUGAGUGAUGAAGGUCUUCGGAUCGUAAAACUCUGUUAUUAGGGAAGAACAUAUGUGUAAGUAACUGUGCACAUCUUGACGGUACCUAAUCAGAAAGCCACGGCUAACUACGUGCCAGCAGCCGCGGUAAUACGUAGGUGGCAAGCGUUAUCCGGAAUUAUUGGGCGUAAAGCGCGCGUAGGCGGUUUUUUAAGUCUGAUGUGAAAGCCCACGGCUCAACCGUGGAGGGUCAUUGGAAACUGGAAAACUUGAGUGCAGAAGAGGAAAGUGGAAUUCCAUGUGUAGCGGUGAAAUGCGCAGAGAUAUGGAGGAACACCAGUGGCGAAGGCGACUUUCUGGUCUGUAACUGACGCUGAUGUGCGAAAGCGUGGGGAUCAAACAGGAUUAGAUACCCUGGUAGUCCACGCCGUAAACGAUGAGUGCUAAGUGUUAGGGGGUUUCCGCCCCUUAGUGCUGCAGCUAACGCAUUAAGCA